rnacentral:misc_RNA from 1 species
AUAAAGAUGCGUUGUUGUAAAAGACGUGUUUGUAAAAGAAAGACACUUUUCUGACCACCUUGUAUAAUCGGCGCAGAGACAUUUGCGCAGCGUACAGGAUUUGCUUAUAGUCUAGAAGCGUAGACAAUGAACACGCAGUACGAAUCUGCCUUUAAUAGGGAAGGUAUUGUUCAACAGUCUUUCGUAUUCGAAAUGCGGUAGUGUAGACCUGCUACGGAAUAGUUAUCUAUUUAAACGUUACAAUUUUUGUGUUUAGCAAGUGUUUGAGCAAUUGAAUCCUCCUCUGAUACACUUCGUGAUACACAAAGAAGCUUAUUCCAGUCACGCAAUUCUUCAUAAAUUCUUUUCCAUGCUGUUAUGGUAAAGUCAGCAGAGGGAAGCAGCUGCGACGCGCCAAAGGAUCGAGUAUCACCGCGAGCAGAGAUAACCAUGUGCCGAGAAGAGUUCGACUCAUUAUCAGCAAAACUCGCUUGAUGACCGUCGGGUCGGGCCUGGAGAACCAUUCAAACCACCAACGGGGCCUGGGUGCUCCGCAACCCCCUGAGCC